rnacentral:rRNA from 1 species
UACGUAGGGUGCGAGCGUUGUCCGGAAUUAUUGGGCGUAAAGAGCUUGUAGGCGGUUUGUCGCGUCUGCUGUGAAAAUCCGGGGCUCAACUCCGGACUUGCAGUGGGUACGGGCAGGCUAGAGUGUGGUAGGGGAGACUGGAAUUCCUGGUGUAGCGGUGGAGUGCGCAGAUAUCAGGAGGAACACCGAUGGCGAAGGCAGGUCUCUGGGCCACUACUGACGCUGAGGAGCGAAAGCCAGGGGAGCAAACGGG